AGAGCUGGUGGGAACCAAAGAAACAGAGGCAAUCGGUUGCAAGACAACAGACAGUUCAGAGGCAGGGACAACAGAUGGGGGUGGCCAAGUGACAAUCGAUCCAAUCAGUGGCAUGGACGAUCCUGGGGUAACAACUACCCGCAACACAGACAAGAACCUUACUAUCCCCAGCAAUAUGGACAUUAUGGUUACAACCAGCGGCCUCCUUACGGUUACUACUGAUAGAAAUGUUGGCAGCUUUUAGUAAAAGCAUUUACUCUGUUACCAUGAGAAAAGUUUGGGUGUCUUCUGUUGGUCAUAGUUUUACAUCUGAUUUUACAGAAUGGAUUAUUGAUUUUUUGGAAGUUGAGACUUUAAAAAAAAUAGAUCUUACUUGCGAAAUGCGAUGGUUGCUGGGAAUACCUGAAACUGUGGAUUAUAUUGCUUGACUUCUACCUCAGAAUCUUCUUUGUUUCAUGACUUAAUAGUGCUUUAAGUUUGGUAUAUUAUUUGACCUCUAGGAAUUCUUUGUUUUACACAGAAAUAAAAAUUUUAAAAUAGAAAAUGCUUUUACUUUGUAAGGUAAGAGAGUAUCCAUAUGCUUAGAUGUGCUCGUUUCUAAAAUUCUAGAGGUUGAUAUAAUCAGCUCAUGAAUGCACAGCUAUGCUUUUUGUGAUAGAUUGUACAUAACAUCAGCAGUUGAAAGGUAAAACAAUUGCUUUUUUUUUUUUUUGCAUUUGUUAAGUGACUAUGGUACUUUGUGAUUCCUUAAUCUAUAGAUGAGUCAGCUCCACACUUGAGUCUCUUUUUAGAGGGAAAUCAGUAAUAAAGCUGUAAA
rnacentral:lncRNA from 1 species